rnacentral:rRNA from 1 species
UACGUAGGGUGCGAGCGUUGCCCGGAUUUAUUGGGCGUAAAGGGCGCGUAGGCGGCUACGCACGUCCGUUGUGAAAUCGCUCGGCUCAACUGGGCGGGGUCAGCGGAUACGGUGUAGCUGGAGCAAGCUAGGGGGCAAUGGAAUUCCCGGUGUAGUGGUGGAAUGCGUAGAUAUCCGGAGGAACACCAGCGGCGAAGGCGGCUUUCUGGUCCGAUACUGACGCUGAGGUGCGAAAGCGUGGGGAGCGAUCCGG